rnacentral:sRNA from 1 species
GGAUGUGAGGGCAAUCUGGCUAUGACAUUUGUACCUCACUGACCAUCGGGGUUGAUUCAGCUGCUCUGGCUGGCUAGGCGAGUGUCCUCUUCCUUCCCACAGCUUUAUGCACAUUCCUCCUGAGUCUGCGUGCUAGGUCUAAGAGGAUGACCAUCCUUAUUUUUUGAGAUGGAGUUUCAUUCUUGUUGCCCAGGCUGGAGUGCAAUGGUGGGAUCUCGGCUCACUGCUCCCCUUUUGCCUUUAAAAACCUACUUGUAACAAAGACCAAAUAGAAGCACUCCCCAAGGUAGUAUAAAUGUGUGU